rnacentral:tRNA from 1 species
GGGGUUGUAGCUCAGUGGUUCAGUGCUUGCCUCUGCAUGCAGGAGGCACUGGGUUCAAUCCUCAGCACUACA